rnacentral:tRNA from 1 species
GUCCAGGGAUGGGAAUCGAACCCACAGUGUUCCGCUUAUGCCGGGCAGAUGCCAUGUCCACUAGGCUACCCUGGA